AGAUUCUUGGUGGAGUCCCCCGGAGGACAGAAUAGCACUACUUAGUGAGACGGAGCGGAGAGCCCGUUGCGCGUUGUUUUUGUUUGACCGGCCUAUCUUCUUUCUCCACUUAUUUAUCUAAAUAUUCAAAAAUAACAACUUAAAUGACGAAUUGAAAAGAAAAGAAAGAAAGAUAUAUUUGGCCUAUUUAACCGUUCGCC
rnacentral:lncRNA from 1 species